AGUCGUACGAGAUUUUCCUAGUGGCGAACGGGUGCGUAACAUGUGAGAAUCUACCCUUGAGAGGGGAAUAACAUUUGGAAACGAAUGCUAAAUCCCCAUAUGCCGAGAGGUGAAAUAGUUUUUCUGCUCGGGGAUGAGCUCAUAUCUGAUUAGCUUGUUGGUAAGGUAAAGGCUUACCAAGGCCAUGAUCAGUAGCUGGUUUGAGAGAACGAUCAGCCACACUGGGACUGAGACACGGCCCAGACUCCUCCGGGAGGCAGCAGUGAGGAAUUUUCCGCAAUGGGCGAAAGCCUGACGGAGCAAUACCGCGUGAGGGACGAAGGAUUUUGGUCUGUAAACCUCUUUUUUCAAGAAAGAAGUUCUGACGGUACUUGAAGAAUAAGCAUCGGCUAACUCCGUGCCAGCAGCCGCGGUAAUACGGGGGAUGCAAGCGUUAUCCGGAAUUAUUGGGCGUAAAGCGCCUGUAGGUGGCUUAUUAAGUCCGUUGUUAAAGGUUAGGGCUCAACCCUAAAAAAGCAAUGGAAACUGGUAAGCUUGAGUAUGGCAGGGGUAGAGGGAAUUUCUAGUGUAGCGGUGAAAUGCGUAGAUAUUAGAAAGAACACCGGUGGCGAAAGCGCUCUACUGGACCAUUACUGACACUCAGAGGCGAAAGCUAGGGGAGCAAAAGGGAUUAGAUACCCCUGUAGUCCUAGCCGUAAACGAUGGAUACUAGAUGUUGGAUUAUAUAGACAGUAUCGUAGCUAACGCGUUAAGUAUCCCGCCUGGGGAGUACGCUCGCAAGGGUGAAACUCAAAGGAAUUGACGGGGGCCCGCACAAGCAGUGGAGCA
rnacentral:rRNA from 1 species